GCCAUGGAGAGCAAACCGAAGAACCCGGUCUGCACGAUGUCCCUUCUCCCCACGAGGCUGCCUCUGUGCCACAUCACAGGGACUCCGCUGUGGUGUCGAGGAGGGAGAUGUUCACAGAUGCUGAGUUAUUUGAAAACAGAGACAGUGUUGGGAAUGGGGUGCAAUGAGAAAUGCUCAUUUCAAGUGCUGGAGAGAAGACUCAGCGUUAAGAGUCCUGCCUGUUCUUGAAGAGGACCUGGGCUUGAUUUCCAGCACCCAUAUCGAACAGGGCAACGAAGAUCAAGAACGUUCUUUGGUACUUUGAACGGUGCAUGAAGGUCCGGUUGCCAGUUGUCCUGCCUCUCACUCAAUCCUGGACUUUACUGUCUGGGUGUCACACCCUCCUUUCCAGUGUGUGUUUCCCGGGUGUGACAAGCACCAGCUCUACUCAGCAGCCACCUCCUGGGAGGCUGAGGAGUACCCCCUGCACCCCCACCUCCA
rnacentral:lncRNA from 1 species